UACGUAGGGUGCAAGCGUUAAUCGGGAUUACUGGGCGUAAAGCGUGCGCAGGCGGUUAUGCAAGACAGAUGUGAAAUCCCCCGGGCUCAACCUGGGAACUGCAUUUGUGACUGCAUGGCUAGAGUGCGGCAGAGGGGGAUGGAAUUCCGCGUGUAGCAGUGAAAUGCGUAGAUAUGCGGAGGAACACCGAUGGCGAAGGCAAUCCCCUGGGCCUGCACUGACGGCUCAUGCACGAAAGCGUGGGGAGCAAACAGG
rnacentral:rRNA from 1 species